UACGGAAGUACUAAAGGAUACAAACAAUGCCUUGGAAGAUGACAUUCGGCCGUUUACGACAAGGACUGACAUUCCCUCAAGAUAUAAGGGUACAAUAUCUCAUCGAAGGACCAUUACAACACUCAGAGGAUCAGAUGCAGAAUUCGGGUUGUCUCUGACCUCUGCAUCAGUUUCUGGAAAGGCCUUGUCAUUUGAAUAUAUAUGCAAUUGCUUGUUUGUUCUUCAAGAUAUUUCUACUAUGUUAUUAGCGUGCGAUCAUUAUAGUGAACAUGCUAAAGAGAAACUGUUUUUUAGCUCAUUAGGUUCUGUCAAUGCUAUUUCUGAUUGGAUAUUACGAAAAUUGCGAGGUUUGCUCAUGGUCAUUUCACUUGAUUGUACAAAACUUGAACUACUUGAAGAGGUAAACUGUAAGUGUCCCACAAAGAAGUCCAAAGAAAAACCUUGUGCUGGUAGCCGUAGGAAGAAAGGAAAAACCCGAAAUACAAAAAGGGUGAUUGCUGCUCCAGAAUCUGCAUGUGAUGUUCCCAAACUGGAUAACCCUUCUAAGGUACCAUUCCGUCUUCACAGACU
rnacentral:lncRNA from 1 species